CAUGCUUGAAAUGAUUCUCCUGUAAUCUCCGUCACUUCUCUGACCAUGCCUCCGGGUCCCUGUCCCUGCUGCAGCCAUGUGACAAAGGUAGGUUAUCUCCGCCGGUGGCAAAGUGGACUACCAAUUGGAUUCAACCUAUUUGAGGAGACGAGGACAGACACACACAGAAGGAAGACCAUGUGAAGAUACAAGGAGAAGGUUGCCAUGUACAAUCCAAUGAAAGAAGAGGCUUUGGAAGAAACUAACAACACUUUGGUCUCAGACUUCUAACCUCUAUAAUUGUGAAAAAAUAAAUUUUUGUUAUUUAAGCCA